UGAGGCGUGAUGACGAGGCACUACGGUGCUGAAGCAACAAAUGCCCUGCUUCCAGGAAAAGCCUCUAAGCAUCAGGUAACAUCAAAUCGUACCCCAAACCGACACAGGUGGUCAGGUAGAGAAUACCAAGGCGCUUGAGAGAACUCGGGUGAAGGAACUAGGCAAAAUGGUGCCGUAACUUCGGGAGAAGGCACGCUGAUAUGUAGGUGAAGUCCCUUGCGGAUGGAGCUGAAAUCAGUCGAAGAUACCAGCUGGCUGCAACUGUUUAUUAAAAACACAGCACUGUGCAAACACGAAAGUGGACGUAUACGGUGUGACGCCUGCCCGGUGCCGGAAGGUUAAUUGAUGGGGUCAGCGCAAGCGAAGCUCUUGAUCGAAGCCCCGGUAAACGGCGGCCGUAACUAUAACGGUCCUAAGGUAGCGAAAUUCCUUGUCGGGUAAGUUCCGACCUGCACGAAUGGCGUAAUGAUGGCCAGGCUGUCUCCACCCGAGACUCAGUGAAAUUGAACUCGCUGUGAAGAUGCAGUGUACCCGCGGCAAGACGGAAAGACCCCGUGAACCUUUACUAUAGCUUGACACUGAACAUUGAGCCUUGAUGUGUAGGAUAGGUGGGAGGCUUUGAAGUGUGGACGCCAGUCUGCAUGGAGCCGGCCUUGAAAUACCACCCUUUAAUGUUUGAUGUUCUAACGUGGACCCGUGAUCCGGGUUGCGGACAGUGUCUGGUGGGUAGUUUGACUGGGGCGGUCUCCUCCUAAAGAGUAACGGAGGAGCACGAAGGUUGGCUAAUCCUGGUCGGACAUCAGGAGGUUAGUGCAAUGGCAUAAGCCAGCUUGACUGCGAGCGUGACGGCGCGAGCAGGUGCGAAAGCAGGUCAUAGUGAUCCGGUGGUUCUGAAUGGAAGGGCCAUCGCUCAACGGAUAAAAGGUACUCCGGGGAUAACAGGCUGAUACCGCCCAAGAGUUCAUAUCGACGGCGGUGUUUGGCACCUCGAUGUCGGCUCAUCACAUCCUGGGGCUGAAGUAGGUCCCAAGGGUAUGGCUGUUCGCCAUUUAAAGUGGUACGCGAGCUGGGUUUAGAACGUCGUGAGACAGUUCGGUCCCUAUCUGCCGUGGGCGCUGGAGAACUGAGGGGGGCUGCUCCUAGUACGAGAGGACCGGAGUGGACGCAUCACUGGUGUUCGGGUUGUCAUGCCAAUGGCACUGCCCGGUAGCUAAAUGCGGAAGAGAUAAGUGCUGAAAGCAUCUAAGCACGAAACUUGCCCCGAGAUGAGUUCUCCCUGACCCUUUAAGGGUCCUGAAGGAACGUUGAAGACGACGACGUUGAUAGGCCGGGUGUGUAAGCGCAGCGAUGCGUUGAGCUAACCGGUACUAAUGAACCGUGAGGCUUAACCUUACAACGCCGAAG
rnacentral:rRNA from 1 species